ACGCUCGACACCUACGGGAGGCAGCAGUGGGGAAUAUUGCACAAUGGGGGAACCCUAAAAAAGUGCAGCGACGCCGCGUGGAGGAAGAAGGUCUUCGGAUUGUAAACUCCUGUUGUUGGGGAAAAAGAGGAUGGUACCCAACAAGGAAGUGACGGCUAACUACGUGUCAGCAGCCGCGGUAAUCUGAGCGGGCUGGCAAGGC
rnacentral:rRNA from 1 species